GCAAUUAGCACAGGGGAAAAAAAAAAAAAAAAAAAAAAGAGGUUCUCCCAGGGCGAGGCUCAUCCAUUGCACUCCGGGUGUGCUGACCCCUGCGAUUUCCCCAAAUGCGGGAAACUCGACUGCAUAAUUUGUGGUAGUGGGGGGCUGCGUUCGCGCUCUCCCCUG